UCCGUAGGUGAACCUGCGGAUGGAUCAUUACCAAAGAGUGGUGCUAACGCACACACACAUUCCACGUACUGUGAACUGUUUACUACCCGUCAGAGUGUUUUGGGUGCGCUGCGCCUAGCGGUGCAUGCUCGCACGCUCUGCACGGACUCCAUGCGUAACUUUCCCCAUACUGAAUAACAACGAGUAACUAGUGUCGAAACUAAACAACUUUUAGCAACGGAUCUCUAGGCUCUCGCAACGAUGAAGAACGCAGCAAACCGCGAUAGGUAGUGUGACUUGCAAAUACCGUGAAUCAUCAAAUCUUUGAACGCACAUUGCACUGCCUGGAAUUCCGGGCAGUAUGCCUGUUUGAGUAUCAGUAAACACUCUCUUCCGCUGCGUCGCCUCUACUAUGGAGUGUAACGGUUGAAGAGAAAUUGGGCCAUUAGUGUGCCGCUCGGCACAGUAUGGCUUUAAAUGCAGUCACCCGGUGGUAGCCUUCAGUUGUUGCCCAGCAGUAGAGUUGAUGGCCCCGGCCUUAAACUAUUGCUAGGGCAGCAUUUGCUGUGGCUCACGACCGCCGUGGUGUUACAACAUAAACACACUGGCGUAUUAAGACCCCGGGACAUUGAUCUCAAAUCAGGCAAGAUUACCCGCUGAACUUAAGCAUAUUAAUAAGCGGAGGAAAAGAAACUAACAAGGAUUCCCCCAGUAAUGGCGAAUGAAGAGGGAAGAGCUCAAAUUUGAAAUCUCCUCGGAGAAUUGUAGUUUGUAGAAGUGUCUUCGUUGGCAGCCCGGGUCCAAGUCCUCUGAAACGAGGCAUCAUGGAGGGUGAUAAUCCCGUCUAUGGCCCGGGUACUGUCACGCUACGAGGCACUCUCAAAGAGUCGGGUUGUUUGGGAAUGCAGCCCUAAGCUGGUGGUAUAUUUCAUCUAAGGCUAAAUACAGGCGAGAGACCGAUAGCAAACAAGUACCGUGAGGGAAAGAUGAAAAGAACUUUGAAAAGAGAGUUAAAUAGUACGUGAAAUUGCUAAAAGGGAAACGCUUGAAGU
rnacentral:rRNA from 1 species